GACGAACGCUGGCGGCGUGCCUAAUACAUGCAAGUGGGACGCAAGGAAACACACUGUGCUUGCACACCGUGUUUUCUUGAGUCGCGAACGGGUGAGUAACGCGUAGGUAACCUGCCUAUUAGCGGGGGAUAACUAUUGGAAACGAUAGCUAAUACCGCAUAAUAUUAAUUAUUGCAUGAUAAUUGAUUGAAAGAUGCAAGCGCAUCACUAGUAGAUGGACCUGCGUUGUAUUAGCUAGUUGGUAAGGUAAGAGCUUACCAAGGCGACGAUACAUAGCCGACCUGAGAGGGUGAUCGGCCACACUGGGACGGAGACACGGCCCAGACUCCUACGGGAGGCAGCAGUAGGGAAUCUUCGGCAAUGGACGAAAGUCUGACCGAGCAACGCCGCGUGAGUGAAGAAGGGUUUCGGAUCGUAAAGCUCUGUUGUAAGUCAAGAACGUGUGUGAGAGUGGAAAGUUCACACAGUGACGGUAGCUUACCAGAAAGGGACGGCUAACUACGUG
rnacentral:rRNA from 1 species